rnacentral:rRNA from 1 species
UACGGAGGGUGCGAGCGUUGUCCGGAAUCAUUGGGCGUAAAGGGCGCGUAGGUGGCCCGGUCAGUUCGUGGUGAAAGCGCGGGGCUCAACCCUGCGUCGGCCAUGGAUACUGCCGCGGCUCGAGCACUGUAGAGGCAGGCGGAAUUCCGGGUGUAGGCGGUGGAAUGGCGUAGAGAGUCCGGAAGAACACCGGUGGCGAAGGCGGCCUGA